UUUAUCGGAGAGUUUGAUCCUGGCUCAGGACGAACGCUGGCGGCGUGCCUAAUACAUGCAAGUCGAGCGGACAGAUGGGAGCUUGCUCCCUGAUGUUAGCGGCGGACGGGUGAGUAACACGUGGGUAACCUGCCUGUAAGACUGGGAUAACUCCGGGAAACCGGGGCUAAUACCGGAUGCUUAUUUGAACCGCAUGGUUCAAAUAUAAAAGGUGGCUUCGGCUACCACUUACAGAUGGACCCGCGGCGCAUUAGCUAGUUGGUGAGGUAACGGCUC
rnacentral:rRNA from 1 species